ensembl:ncRNA M03F4.12 ncRNA
AGAGAGAGAGAGAGAGAUGGUCAUCACAAAAUGGGGGUCAGUGCCUGCCGGGGCUGCCGAUUUCUCAGAGCAGAGAGUACAGUGUACCGGGAGACGCAGUCAGAGGUUAAGUUAAAACAUUGGAGAGACUAUGCGGGAGGGCG